rnacentral:rRNA from 1 species
UACAGAGGUCUCGAGCGUUAGGCGGAAUCACUGGGCUUAAAGCGUGUGUAGGCGGAUCGUUAAGUACCUUGUGAAAUCCCACGGCUUAACCGUGGAACUGCUUGGUAUACUGGCGGUCUUGAGCCAGCUAGGGGCUACCGGCACAAAUGGUGGAGCGGUGAAAUGCGUAGAUAUCAUUUGGAACGCCAAUGGUGAAAACAGGUAGCUGGGGCUGUGCUGACGCUGAGACACGAAAGCCAGGGGAGCAAACGGG